GUGGCCGUGAGGUGAGGUUUUCGGUUUCGCCUUGUAAGCGGAAGGUGAUAGGUUCAAUUCCUAUCUGGCUCG
rnacentral:tRNA from 1 species